rnacentral:rRNA from 1 species
UAUUUUUAUUCAAUAUAUAAAUUGGGGACUACGAGCUUUAGCUUAAAAACCAAAGAAUAUGGCGGUAUUUUAUUCAGUCAGGGUGGCAUGUAUCUUAAUUUGAUAGUCCACGUUUUUUAGUCCUAGUCUUGAAGAACAGUAUGUGUACUGCCGUUAUACAUGAUUCUAUAGAAUAAUGUGAGAUAUAUAGCAUUAUAUAAAUAGUCAGGUCCAAGCGCAGCCAAUGAUUAGGUGAGAGUGUGCUACAUUUAUUUAAACAUUCUAAUUAUUUAGUUAAAUCUGAAUAUGAGGCAGAACUUGAUAGUAAUUA